CACUUGUAUACAUAUCUCCAAUCUCCCGAUCAUCAUUUUUCUUCCUUAUUAGCUUCUUUAAUUUUAUCACUCAAUAUAAUUCUGGUCGCCGAAGAUGCUGGCAAGCGGUUGGUCUAACCAGAAGACACCUGUAUUUAUAGUCUUCGUUUGGUUCACCGAAUA